rnacentral:rRNA from 1 species
AGAGUUUGAUCCUGGCUCCGGACGAACGCUGGCGGCAUGCCUAAUACAUGCAAGUCGAGCGAAUGACGAAGAAGCUUGCUUCUUCUGAUUUAGCGGCGGACGGGUGAGUAACACGUGGGCAACCUGCCCUGUAGAUUGGGAUAACUCCGGGAAACCGGGGCUAAUACCGAAUAAUCCAUUUCCUCACAUGGGGAGAUGUUAAAAGACGGUUUCGGCUGUCACUACAGGAUGGGCCCGCGGCGCAUUAGCUAGUUGGUGAGGUAACGGCUCACCAAGGCGACGAUGCGUAGCCGACCUGAGAGGGUGAUCGGCCACACUGAGACUGAGACACGGCCCAGACUCCUACGGGAGGCAGCAGUAGGGAAUCUUCCACAAUGGACGAAAGUCUGAUGGAGCAAUGCCGCGUGAGUGAAGAAGGUUUUCGGAUCGUAAAACUCUGUUGUGAGGGAAGAACAAGUAUGAGAGUAACUGCUCGUACCUUGACGGUACCUCAUUAGAAAGCCACGGCUAACUACGUGCCAGCAGCCGCGGUAAUACGUAGGUGGCAAGCGUUGUCCGGAAUUAUUGGGCGUAAAGCGCGCGCAGGCGGUCCUUUAAGUCUGAUGUGAAAUCCCACGGCUCAACCGUGGAAGGUCAUUGGAAACUGGGGGACUUGAGUACAGAAGAGGAAAGCGGAAUUCCAAGUGUAGCGGUGAAAUGCGUAGAGAUUUGGAGGAACACCAGUGGCGAAGGCGGCUUUCUGGUCUGUAACUGACGCUGAGGCGCGAAAGCGUGGGGAGCAAACAGGAUUAGAUACCCUGGUAGUCCACGCCGUAAACGAUGAGUGCUAAGUGUUAGGGGGUUUCCGCCCCUUAGUGCUGCAGCUAACGCAUUAAGCACUCCGCCUGGGGAGUACGGUCGCAAGACUGAAACUCAAAGAAUUGACGGGGCCCGCCCAAGCGGU